GCGGGUAUAGCUCAAAGGUAGAGUUCCGGCUUCCCAAGCCGGCUGUGCGGGUUCGAUUCCCGUUACCCGCUCCA
rnacentral:tRNA from 1 species